AAGUCAUGAAUCACUGGUUUACACAGAAACACAGUAAGGGUUGACCAUUCAGUCCUCAGAGCCUGCUCCACUGCUCAAUACAAUGAUAGCUGAUUAUCCAAAUUCUGUAUCCUGAUUCUCCUUCUGUAAGUGUUUGUGGGAGGUGUACCAUGCCGGCCGUUCAUUGGUGCAUUUAUAAGCUGUAGCAGCUCUUCCAGUUGGUUGCCUUGUGUGCCACUCCUCCGGUGUCUGCCUUCAGUCACCCGGGGUAUGCAGGAAACUAACCCCACACACUUUCCCUUUGUCUGGGCAAGCUGCACAGAACCACGCGAAAGGUGUUCCAGCUUCCUCCCACAUCCCAAGAACGUGUAGUUGUGUCGAUUAACUGGCCAUUAUAAGUGUUGCAGGUCGAGUUGCUAACUCGAUGCUCAACCCAGCACAGAUGAAAAAUGUGCAAGGAGCCAUCCGGAUUCGAAUCUGGGAUCACUCGCCUCGAAGUCCAGUGCAGAUGCCACUACACCACCCGCCAGAUUACAAUACAUAUUAAUGCUAUACAAAUCUCCUCUUAGCCUCACCAUUCCCUUUCUCUGUAGUCUACUCCAAUCCUACAACAUUCCAGUCUCAAUGCUCCUCCAAUUCUGUAGUCUAAUUCUGGAGUCUGCAGUCUAUUCUAAUCCUACAUUCCAGUAUCUCAAUGCUCCUCCAAUUCUGUAGUCUGUAGUCUGCAAUCUACUCUAAUCCUACAACAUUCCAGUACCUCAAUAUUCCCCCAAUUCUGACUUGAACAUUUCACUGGAGAAAAUGCUGGAGGUAUCAAAACCAAAACUCUGGGACCACAUUCCACCUUCCACUUGCUUUUCAUUUGCCUAUAAAGCAUAUAUCUCUGACCAAGCUACAAAAAUUCAGACCUUCAAGAGGCUUUAACCUGAAGCACUAAAUUUCCAGAUUCUGCAGAUCUGCUGAGUGAUUCCAGCAUUCUGUUUUUAUUUUAGAUUUCCAGCAUAUGCAGGUGUCCUGGUUUUUGACCUCAACGUGACUGCCAUAGAUUGGCUUGCUGUUUUAAGAUUGUUAUGUACAUGGAAGUGCUUGCCUUUUUGAUGUCCUUCUACAUUGGAUGUCUCCUCUUUUUGGUCUAUCUGUCUCUCAAACUGGUGUCCCUCUCCAUCAAUCUCACUUAAUCAAAUAAAAGAUUAU